AUCAUUUUAGGAUGGACGUGUUGCGCAUUCGCUAGUUGCAUGAGGUUACGUCCUAUCAAAGUUUGGACAGGUAGCCGGCGUGAGAGAGUGUACCCCCACUUUUAGACUGAGACACGGUCCAGACUCAUUCGCGAGGCAGCAGUGCGGAAUAUUGCACAAUGGGGGAAACCAUGAUGCCGUGACGCUGGGUGGGUCAUGUAGUUUUUGGGCAUGUGAAGCCCUAUCAGCAGUGUAGUUAAUGACGGUACCUUAAUAAGAAGCCCCGGCUAACUAUGUGCCAGCAGCCGCGGUAAUACGUAGGUGGGCAAGCGUUAUCCGGAUUUACUGGGUGUAAAGGGAGCGUAGACGGUAUAGCAAGUCUGAAGUGAAAUCUUAGGGCUCAACCCUGUAAUUGCUUCGGAAACUGUUGAUCUUGAGUACCGGAGGGGCAGUCGGAAUUUAUGGUGUAGCGGUGAAAUGCGUAGAUAUCAGGAAGAACACCGGUGGCGAAGGCGGCUUCCUGGACCACAACUGACGUUGAGGCUCGAAAGUGUGGGGAGCAAACAGGAUUAGAUACCCUGGUAGUCCACGCUGUAAACGAUGAACUACUCAAGUGUGGGCACUUUGACGCGUGUCGGUGUUUUCAGCAAACGCAUUAAGUAUUCCGCCUGGGGAGUACGGUUCGCAAGAAUGAAACUCAAAGGAAUUGACGGGGACCCGCACAAGCAGUGGAGCAUGUGGUUUAAUUCGAAGCAACGCGAAGAACCUUACCUGGUCUUGACAUCCAGCUGCAAGUUCUGGUAAAGCAGAUCUCCUCUUAGGACAGCGGUCACAGGUGGUCGACAUGGUUGUGUCUACAUCUUGCGUUGUGAGAUGUGGGGAUAUCUCCCCGCAGCGAGCGCCCCCUUUAUUUUUUGUACCCAGCAGCAUGAUGGGAACUCUUGUGAGACUGCCCGGGAUAGCCGGGAGGAGGGGGGGGAGGAGGUCAAUUCAUCAUGCCCUUUCUUACCAGGGCGCCCCACGUGUUCCAAUGGUGUAACCAAAGGGAAGGGAACCGCUGAGGGGGGGCAAUUCCCAAGAACCAGCUUCCAGUUAGGAUGGUAUUUUCCACCUGGCCCCCAGGAAUCGGGAAUGGUUGGUAAUGGGGAUUCAGAAUGUCGCGGUGAAUACGUUCCCGGGUCUUGCACUCACCGCCCGUCA
rnacentral:rRNA from 1 species